UUAAGUUAUUAAGGGCGCACGGUGGAUGCCUUGGCACUAGAAGCCGAUGAAGGACGUUACUAACGACGAUAUGCUUUGGGGAGCUGUAAGUAAGCUUUGAUCCAGAGAUUUCCGAAUGGGGAAACCCAGCAUGAGUUAUGUCAUGUUAUCGAUAUGUGAAUACAUAGCAUAUCAGAAGGCACACCCGGAGAACUGAAACAUCUUAGUACCCGGAGGAAGAGAAAGAAAAUUCGAUUCCCUUAGUAGCGGCGAGCGAAACGGGAAGAGCCCAAACCAAAAAGCUUGCUUGUUGGGGUUGUAGGACACUCUAUACGGAGUUACAAAGGACGACAUUAGACGAAUCAUCUGGAAAGAUGAAUCAAAGAAGGUAAUAAUCCUGUAGUCGAAAAUGUUGUCUCUCUUGAGUGGAUCCUGAGUACGACGGAGCACGUGAAAUUCCGUCGGAAUCUGGGAGGACCAUCUCCUAAGGCUAAAUACUCUCUAGUGACCGAUAGUGAACCAGUACCGUGAGGGAAAGGUGAAAAGCACCCCGGAAGGGGAGUGAAAUAGAACCUGAAACCGUGUGCUUACAAGUAGUCAGAGCCCGUUAAUGGGUGAUGGCGUGCCUUUUGUAGAAUGAACCGGCGAGUUACGAUUUGAUGCAAGGUUAAGCAGUAAAUGUGGAGCCGUAGCGAAAGCGAGUCUGAAUAGGGCGUUUAGUAUUUGGUCGUAGACCCGAAACCAGGUGAUCUACCCUUGGUCAGGUUGAAGUUCAGGUAACACUGAAUGGAGGACCGAACCGACUUACGUUGAAAAGUGAGCGGAUGAACUGAGGGUAGCGGAGAAAUUCCAAUCGAACCUGGAGAUAGCUGGUUCUCUCCGAAAUAGCUUUAGGGCUAGCCUCAAGUGAUGAUUAUUGGAGGUAGAGCACUGUUUGGACGAGGGGCCCCUCUCGGGUUACCGAAUUCAGACAAACUCCGAAUGCCAAUUAAUUUAACUUGGGAGUCAGAACAUGGGUGAUAAGGUCCGUGUUCGAAAGGGAAACAGCCCAGACCACCAGCUAAGGUCCCAAAAUAUAUGUUAAGUGGAAAAGGAUGUGGCGUUGCCCAGACAACUAGGAUGUUGGCUUAGAAGCAGCCAUCAUUUAAAGAGUGCGUAAUAGCUCACUAGUCGAGUGACACUGCGCCGAAAAUGUACCGGGGCUAAACAUAUUACCGAAGCUGUGGAUUGUCCUUUGGACAAUGGUAGGAGAGCGUUCUAAGGGCGUUGAAGCAUGAUCGUAAGGACAUGUGGAGCGCUUAGAAGUGAGAAUGCCGGUGUGAGUAGCGAAAGACGGGUGAGAAUCCCGUCCACCGAUUGACUAAGGUUUCCAGAGGAAGGCUCGUCCGCUCUGGGUUAGUCGGGUCCUAAGCUGAGGCCGACAGGCGUAGGCGAUGGAUAACAGGUUGAUAUUCCUGUACCACCUAUAAUCGUUUUAAUCGAUGGGGGGACGCAGUAGGAUAGGCGAAGCGUGCGAUUGGAUUGCACGUCUAAGCAGUAAGGCUGAGUAUUAGGCAAAUCCGGUACUCGUUAAGGCUGAGCUGUGAUGGGGAGAAGACAUUGAGUCUUCGAGUCGUUGAUUUCACACUGCCGAGAAAAGCCUCUAGAUAGAAAAUAGGUGCCCGUACCGCAAACCGACACAGGUAGUCAAGAUGAGAAUUCUAAGGUGAGCGAGCGAACUCUCGUUAAGGAACUCGGCAAAAUGACCCCGUAACUUCGGGAGAAGGGGUGCUCUUUAGGGUUAACGCCCAGAAGAGCCGCAGUGAAUAGGCCCAAGCGACUGUUUAUCAAAAACACAGGUCUCUGCUAAACCGUAAGGUGAUGUAUAGGGGCUGACGCCUGCCCGGUGCUGGAAGGUUAAGAGGAGUGGUUAGCUUCUGCGAAGCUACGAAUCGAAGCCCCAGUAAACGGCGGCCGUAACUAUAACGGUCCUAAGGUAGCGAAAUUCCUUGUCGGGUAAGUUCUGACCCGCACGAAAGGCGUAACGAUUUGGGCACUGUCUCAACGAGAGACUCGGUGAAAUCAUAGUACCUGUGAAGAUGCAGGUUACCCGCGACAGGACGGAAAGACCCCGUGGAGCUUUACUGUAGCCUGAUAUUGAAAUUCGGCACAGCUUGUACAGGAUAGGUAGGAGCCUUUGAAACGUGAGCGCUAGCUUACGUGGAGGCGCUGGUGGGAUACUACCCUAGCUGUGUUGGCUUUCUAACCCGCACCACUUAUCGUGGUGGGAGACAGUGUCAGGCGGGCAGUUUGACUGGGGCGGUCGCCUCCUAAAAGGUAACGGAGGCGCUCAAAGGUUCCCUCAGAAUGGUUGGAAAUCAUUCAUAGAGUGUAAAGGCAUAAGGGAGCUUGACUGCGAGACCUACAAGUCGAGCAGGGUCGAAAGACGGACUUAGUGAUCCGGUGGUUCCGCAUGGAAGGGCCAUCGCUCAACGGAUAAAAGCUACCCCGGGGAUAACAGGCUUAUCUCCCCCAAGAGUUCACAUCGACGGGGAGGUUUGGCACCUCGAUGUCGGCUCAUCGCAUCCUGGGGCUGUAGUCGGUCCCAAGGGUUGGGCUGUUCGCCCAUUAAAGCGGUACGCGAGCUGGGUUCAGAACGUCGUGAGACAGUUCGGUCCCUAUCCGUCGUGGGCGUAGGAAAUUUGAGAGGAGCUGUCCUUAGUACGAGAGGACCGGGAUGGACAUACCUCUGGUGUACCAGUUGUCGUGCCAACGGCAUAGCUGGGUAGCUAUGUGUGGACGGGAUAAGUGCUGAAAGCAUCUAAGCAUGAAGCCCCCCUCAAGAUGAGAUUUCCCAACUUCGGUUAUAAGAUCCCUCAAAGAUGAUGAGGUUAAUAGGUUCGAGGUGGAAGCAUGGUGACAUGUGGAGCUGACGAAUACUAAUCGAUCGAAGACUUAAUCAA
rnacentral:rRNA from 1 species